rnacentral:lncRNA from 1 species
UUGGGGUUCUGAACAGCCCAGCCUAAGUCCCACUUCCACUUCCACCUCCACCUGCACUGUUGCUAUCUGAUGAUGUGCUUUUUAGCUCUCCAAACCCAUCAAGCUAGAUCAUCAUAUGAAUUCAUUAUCCAAGCAUGGGUGGGUAUAGUAUCUGAGAAUGAAAAGCAAGUAAGUUAGUUGAUAUCAGAGAUGCAGGUAAGGUGUUAGCAUCACCAGCAACUGGAACUGGAAGUAGGUGUUCAUCGUCACCUGAAGCUUUUGCAGCAAUAGUUUCUUGAGAUCCAAAUCCCAGAUGUGUACUAGUUUUGGGGAAGCAGAUUUUGAGAGAGUGAGUCGGCUCUUGAAACGUUAGGACAAAGAGGCUGCCUCAAGGUUUUCAACAAAUAUCAAGAAGAAGAAGAAGAAGAAAGGUAAAAUAUAAGCAAGGGGUAAUUUUGUUAUAUUUUAAUAAAAGCAAAGGGUAAGUUUGUCAUUUUACAUGGAGUUAACAGAGAAAACUAACGGACAUCCACUCUAGGGACUAUCCGAGUAACAAACUGUCAAAGCACAAGGAGCACCGGUGUAAUUUCCAAAAGUUGGGGACUAUAUGUGUUAUUUUACAAAACCACAGGGACUAUCCUGGCAUUUUACUCUUUAAAUAAUGGACCCCGCCAGGGGCUGCCGUCCCCUAGACAUUUGUCUUAGGGGUGCUGGCACCGGACCCCUACACUAUGCUACAAAGAGGGCGUUGCCCCUUUGAAACCCUCAUUGAAUAGGGGCUUCGUCCGAACACUUAGAAUUACAAUAACUCAAACAAUCUUUCACUCCUCUACCUCUUAACUUGUUUGAUGUACAUUAAAAUUCACUUUUGUCAACAACUCAACUCCAGUUACACUUAAACAUCCAAAUGAGCUACUCACCUUUUAGUUUGUGGUUGUGGCGAACAACCGUCAUUUUAUAUAUUCAAAUAUAUGGUUUUGAAUUAGGAUCUUGUCGUUAAUUUACUUGAAAUACAAAAAAAAAAAAAAAAAAAAAAAAAAAAAAACAAGCCUUUAGUAGAAAACAAUGUUGAAAAUGUGAAAAUUACAAGUUUUGUCCUUUAUGUUUGUCUUAAAUUUCAGGCGCUGUCCUUUACCUUUAAAAUUGAUGACUUUUGUACUUAAUGUUUGAAAUGUUGCACGUAAUGUCCUUUAGGGCAAACCCAGUUAUAAUUUUCUGUUAAGUUAUGUCAUGUGCACUGCACAUGAGGGUAGAACAGUCAUUUCACCUCCCUACUUGUGUUUCCCCCUUUAAAUACCCUGAUAACACCCCAAUUCAUCACUUUUGUAAUUAGGGCUCAAGAUCACCCACCAAAUUAGGGUUCGUCGGCCAGAAUCAUGGUGAACUGCCAUUAUGGAUUAGGGAAAUAUUAAUACCUAUCUUGUGUAUGUCGAUCUGUUUUUUUACUUAAAUUGUGUUUUCCAGAUCAUGAAGUUUUUUCUGAUACUUUGUGGUGUUAUCUUUGUCAGUCAGUUUUACGGAAUUAUGAGUGUUGCUUGAUGUUAAAUGUCUUUUUAGCUCCAGAUAGGUAUUUAUAUAAACUCAUAAGUCAGAAGAAGAGUUUUUUUUUCGUU